rnacentral:rRNA from 1 species
AGAAUCAACGCUGGCGGCGUGCCUAACACAUGCAAGUCGCACGAGAAAGGGUAGCAAUACCUGAGUAAAGUGGCGCACGGGUGAGUAACACGUGAAUCAUCUACCUCCGAGUGGGGGAAUAAACUGAGAGAAAUCUUAGCUAAUACCGCAUAACACUUACGAGUCAAAGCAGCAAUGCGCUUGGAGAGGAGUUCGCGGGCAGAUUAGUUAGUUGGCGGGGGUAAUGGCCCACCAAGACGAUGAUCUGUAUCCGGCCUGAGAGGGCGCACGGACACACUGGAACUGAAACACGGUCCAGACUCCUACGGGAGGCAGCAGUGGGGAAUUUUGCGCAAUGGGGGAAACCCUGACGCAGCAACGCCGCGUGGAGGAUGAAGCCCCUUGGGGUGUAAACUCCUUUCGAUCGGGAAGAUAAUGACGGUACCGAUAUAAGAAGCCCCGGCUAACUUCGCGCCAGCAGCCGC